ACAGCGUGGGGGAAACUGCCCCCAUGAUCCAAUCACCUCUCUCCCUCUACGUGUGAGAAUUGCAGGUCCUACCUCAACACGUGGGGACGGAGAUGAGAUUUGAGUAAGGACAAAGAACCAAGCCAUGUCAAUCGUAUUUUGUUAAGUACGAAAACAAGUUACGGAUCGGAAUAAUUAAAAAGGAAAUCCAAUAUUUAAUUCAGACUUCAAAGGAACAUUAAAGGACCAUCGGUGACCUCCGGUAACUGGAACUGCGGGAAGUGAAACCAUGGAGAAGGGGAGACUGCUGUCACUAACAUAGCAGGGCCAAAUUG
rnacentral:lncRNA from 1 species